CGGGCACCAAUAGGUAACAGAGUAGUCUGAUGACAAUUGGUCUGAUCCUGCCGCUGACAGCCAAUCAAAGCUAGCUGGACACUAUCGUCUGUCGAGAGGUUGGCGCAGCGGACUCAUUCGACUCAACCAUCUACUGUGAAUGAGAAGAGAGGCACGAAUUGCGUCCCGACGAAAGGACUGAACGUGUUUUCACCCUUCGUCCAUUAGAAAGAGAAACUGCUUCCCAGAUUGAGCAUACACAAUCUAAUGGUCUGUACAGAAUAUCAGCGAAUCACCAACCACAAUCUAAAGACUGAACUGUAUGCUUCAUUGGACAGUCACACAAACAGUUUGCUGGCUUUAGCCUGAGGGAUGCAGGGGAAAUCCGAUCAGUGCCCAGAAGAUCUCAUCAAUGUUAAAGACAUACUCUGAGUGUUGACCGGGUUGCAUCUCUUCGGUGUCUACCACUGCAUCUUGAAGAUGACACAGAGCUCUUCUACACCUGUAAGGAGGGUGAAGACCAAGGGCCUACCAUUAAGAGAUCUGCUGCCAUUGUGUCCAUCAUUGGUGACAGUGAGGAUAUGAACACGGUGCCAUUCUAUCCUCAAGAAGUCAAGGUCUUUCUCCAGGAGCAGGUUGUUUUGCAAGGAACUAAAUGCUGGCCAGAUGCAAUAAUGCAUUUAUAUGGCUUGCUUAAUGUUAUCCAUGCUGAAUACCCAAAAGCAAUGACCUACACAUUUGAGUUUAUUAAGAAAGUCCUCCUGAAUGUAGAUGGCGAAAAACCCAAACCAAAGACACUGUCUUUAAAAAAUAAGCUCUAAUGUACAAAGGCAGUGUCACAAAUGAAUUAAAGGUCUGUUGAGGUUAUAAGUGACCCAGGUCAUGGUUAUACAGCAAAAGUUCAAUCAAGGGCAACUGUUAAGAUUUCUUUAAGGUGCUUUAAGACAACAAACCUCCUCUGUUGAGUGAAAGCUGUUCACUGUGGGUGUAGAUUGUGUCUUUGAAACCUCUUUCAAACCAGCUUUCCUCCCUGUCUAACAUCUGGAUCUUGUGGCUUUCAGAAAAGUUUCAGUUGUCUUUCAGAUGUAAGUAAACUGCUGAGUCUUGCUCCUCUGUGUUGGGCCAUGCGUUUGUGAAGAGGUUGUUUCCUUUUCCCAACAUGAUGUGUAGAUCUGUAUAUUAGGGAAAUGUAACAAAGCAACAAACAAAAGGCCCACUUAUCCCCCAUUUAACAACACAAUCCUUGUUUCCAUAGUCAUUGUUUACAAAGAAACUCUUGUAAAUGCUCACAGUCGGCAAUUGAUGGUCAUUCAGACCACCUGAUCCUAUGGUUUUCCAAUGACUAGUUAAAACAGCCAGAAGCACUAACAAACCAUUUGGAUGGAUCAUGGUUACUUGUACCUAAUUAAAACUAAACAGCUACCAUUCAGUCAAGCAAAAGAAGCUCUUCUGAUGAGGGAUGAAACGUCUUCAAGACACCUUAACCAAUCCAGUUGAUCCUUGAUCAAACAAAGUUUAAAUAAGCAAGUAAGAAGUGUUUGAGUGUUACUUUACAUAAUUUGUCCAUCAGAGAAAAGUGACUGCAGAUUUUAGCAGAUAUGUGGCUUGGUGGAUAGUAAUGUUCAUCUGUUGCAGACUAAUGAAGACCCACAGUAGACAUUAUGUAUCCGUACAUGUGUGUUCUGAUCAGCUUAAGUUGGGUAAUUGUUUCAGACAAACAGGUCUUAUUUUCUAUGGCCCAAUAUGUGUGACACAUUCAUUAGCGCACACUUUUGUAAAAGCACAUAUUGUAUUAUGAAGAGAAAAUAUACAUUUGAGCUAACAAAAAUUAGUCGUUUGCUAAACUCUAUUUCUGCACUUGCCACUCAGUGCUUGUGCACAACUCCUUCUCCGUGCUCGCUCACUUCUAACUCUGAGAGUCUACUUUUAACUCCGCUCUCGCUCAGCUUGUCACAGCUUUACAGUGUGUCGCAAAAAUCAGUCAAUCACCGGCUCAGAGAAGGUAAACCUGAUUGGCUGUUUGGUAUCCAAUUGGUUGCUAGCUUCCAAGAAAAAGAUGGAGAGAAUUUGGAUGGCACAAUGCAUUCUGGGUGUUGAUUACAUCAGAUGCAAACAGGUAGUAUUUUUUUUUGUUAUACUAAUUAAAGUCAGAUUUUGCUAAAUGUUUUGGUGUAAAAUGGUGGUCAUAAUAGUUUAAUUAUCUCCCAAGCCUGGUCAAUGCAAGGACUCAUCCUUUUUUAGUUGUCCUUGGUUAGACUAAUUAAUACACAAAACAAUCAUAUUUUCUUAAUUACCAAAAAAAAAAGAGAAUACUAGCGCUGGUCAACUUUUCUAUAUUUUCUAUUUUUUGAGUUUGUUAUAAUUAGAAACUUAUCUUUAUUGUUUAGCUUUUUGUUAAGCAGAGCGCACAGAUAUUUAUGUUUGUCGUUUAUUUCCAUCAUUGUGGUGUUAUAUUGUUGUUACAGUCUGCUAAAUAAAAUAGAUACAAUUUAGAACAUAGUGGCCUAAUGUUUUUUUUUAUUUUUAUUACAUAAUUAUAGAUUAGUAGUGAGAAUGUAGAGAUAACAUGGGAGUUUGUAUAAACAACUAAAUGUUCUGAUAUAUAACAAUUUAUUUCCUUCUAUAGAACUGUUAAUGUGUCCAUUUCUGUAAUAUAUAUUUGAUUUUGAGGUGUUUCCAAAAUGUUUUAAGAGUUACUUUAGAUAAGUGAAUUGCUAGCAGUAUUAACAUAAUGCUUUUAGUAGUUGGUGUAUGUUCAGAACAGUAGUUCACAUUAAGUUUUGAGUACCGGUAUAUACAUUUGAAUUUGAGUUGUUAAAUUGCCUAUAAUAAUAGUUUUUACACUUCAUUAAAUAAAGUUUAGGUUAAAAACACAAACAUUUUGUGUCCUCAAAACCAUUAAUAGUUCCGGUGUAAAUAUUAGAUAUUUAGUGUAGAAAGCAUGAAAUAUAUUGGUCAUAAAUUAAUUGUAAAACUUUUUAAAACAAUUGAAUAGUUUUUAUGUAACUCCACUAAAAAGACAUGGGUCCAAAUGGCAGAAAAUAUCCUCUAAACAAGUUCAACUAAAUGUGUAAGAUUGACUUAAUUGUAAUAUUACAUUGAGCAUGACAAAACAAUUUAUUUUGUAGCAUUUUCUUUUGUGUCUAGAACACUGAUUUGAUUGCGUUGUAAAACCAAAAUUUUUUAAGCUUAACGUACACAAUAAAAUGCCUUAAACAACAUGAACAAUUUGGUUCAAAGGUAC